AUGCCCAUCAGUUCAGCAACAUCACAGUCAGUGUGCCACGCGCUGGACAAGCAGGUCAAGAGCAGGGUCCACUUCAAGGAUAUGGAUGACUAUCUGAAGGGAUGCAGGUUUCUUCCCAAACUUAACAACAAGAUACUAGGUGAAAGAAAUGCUCCCUACAAGGAAAGGUUGAGCAGCCUAGAGAAUUUAGUACUGAUCAGGGUACAAGAUAGCGACAGAGUGCUGCAGGAUAAUGAGAUGUUGAAGCAGCGGACUGAAUCCAUGACACCGAAGUGCAAUUGCGGCAGAUUAUCUCUAUCUUUUCUUUUCAUUUUUCUUAUUAUUGAGUGA
rnacentral:rRNA from 1 species